ensembl:lincRNA
UAUUGCCAUCAUUUCUCCAAGCCAACAAUUUGAAGAUAAAGCUGUGGAUUUUAGCCUCUUUUAGGUCGCAGAGGCUCUUGAGGAUUUAAGAGCAAUGGGCACACUAAUUGCACAUAUAAAGUCUCCCUAAACUGUCAGGGGAUCUGAAAACUCCCUAGAACCCCUGCAUAGGCAGGGGAGCCCCAGUGUGAGAUUUGCCCAGUUAUUCAUGAAUUAUUACCAAGUGAAGAAGGGCUUUCGCUUCCCUCAAGUUGAAAGGACAGUUACACCCAAACCCUCUGCUGCCCUUAACUCUCCUCUUUUGCAUCUGAAUUUGCUACCAUUUUUAUUCAUUUAUUUAUUGCUGGCUGCACUGUGCCUUUGCUGUGGUGUGCAGGCUUCUCUUGCUGCAGAGUGCGGGCUCUAGAGUUCCUGGGCUUCAGUAGUUGUGGCACAGGGGCUUAAUAGUUGCAGCUCCCAGGCUCCAGAGCAAGGCUCAGUAGUUGGUGCUCGGACUUAGUUGCCCCAAGGCAUGCGGGAUCUUUCCGGAUCAGGGAUCAGACCUGUAUCUCCUGCACUGGCAGGUGGAUUCUUAACCCCUGGAUAACCUGGGAGGUCCCUGUAAGGUGCUUUUAAACUGUAACGGUUUCAGUCCUCACCUCUAAAAUGGAAAAAUGAUAGAGUUGUAAUAUUGAAAGAGCUAGUAUGUGGACCAGAGCAGUAGCUGACCCUCAUGGAGUCUCGGUGAUCAUCCCCAGGUGGGGCCAGACCUGCCUGCAGAAGGGCUGAGGAGCCCAUGCCCUGCGCUGAGCGGAGGCUGAACAGCAGUGAGAAUGGUCCAAACAGGAAAGGCCACCAUCACGAGAGGCCAGGAGGCCACUUUCUCCCCAAGACUCUGCAGGAAGGCUGGAUCACUAGCCCCCUCCUCCGGCUCCUCAAUAGGCAGGAAUGUUUCUCUUCACUUGGAUGCUGAGGAAGUGAGGCUCAGAGAGGUUGUGGCUGGAGGGUCCAAGGGUGCCCAGCUGACCACAAAGCCCUCCUCCCUGCCCUGCCCAGCGGUGCUGAAACAAGAGGAAGACAAAGAGGGCCAAAGCCAGUGUUUCAUUCCACUGAACGUUCAAUGAGCCUUCACUCUGUGACGGGUGCUAAGCCAAGCAGUGUGUGUCCAUUGUCUCAUUCAACCUCAACAUUUCCUCUCUGAGGUGGGUAUAUUACCAGGCCUCUAACAGAUGAGAAAAACUGAGACCCAGGAAGGUUAUUUGUCCCAGGGCACACAGCUAGUACGUGGCAGAAUGAGAAUUUUUACCCUCAUGCCUCUGGCCCCAAAGCCUGAGUCUUUCCUUUCCAUUUUACAUUACUCUUCCACAUAGUGUAGAACCUGGGAGAAUGCAUUUCAGAAUCAGGGGUGGGGGCUGCACUGGUGGAGGAGAGGGUGGGGUGGAGUUGCUGGGGAAGAGGGUGAGGAAUAAAGGCCCGAGGAAGUGAGCGAGCGGUGAGUUGUUACUGUAGACUGAUUGAAGCAGGUUGGGUGUUAUUACUGUAGACUGAUUGAAGCAGGUUGGUAGUAGUGUGAGUCUUUUUAGCAUCUUUUUUAUCCGCCUUCUCUGGUGGUGCAGUGGGUAAGAAUUCACCUGCCGAUGCGGACGACACGGGAUUGAUCCCUGGUCCAGGAAGAUUCCAGAUGACUCAGAGCAACUAAGCCCGUGUGCCGCAGCUACUGAACCCCACGCACCUAGAACCUGUCCUCUGCUCAACAGAAGCCACUGCAAUGAGAAGCCCGCGCACCGCAGUGGAGAGUGGCCGGCACCCACUGCAACUGGAGAAAGCAUGCGCAGAGCAACAGCAAAGAUCCAGUGCAGCCAAACGUUUAAAAAAAUAAUAAAUAAAUAAAAUUAUUUUAAAAACUCAUUUCAUUAAAAUAUAAUACCCAUACAGAAAAGGGUAAUAUACAUUAAAGUGUACCAAUCACGAAUUUUCACAAACUGAAUACUCCCAUCAGCACCUAAGAGAAGAAGCAGAAGAUUUCCGUCAAUCCAGAUGCCUUGUGCCUCUGUCCUGACCACGUCUACCCACAUCAACUGGGCGUAUUUAAUUUGUUCCUUAGCUGAAUGAAAUCACACGUCAUGGAUUAUUUUGUGUCUGGCUUCUUUCAUGCAACAUCAUGUUUCUGCACAGCCAGUGUGUCCGUCAACAUUUUAUCUCAAACAUUUUCAAACAGAGCAAAAUGGAAAGAAUUUUACAGUAACUCCCACAAAUCUGCCACCUAUAUUCUGCUAUGAACAUUUUGCUGCACUUGACUUUUUAAAAAUUUUAUUUAUUUAUUUAUUUGGCUGUGCCAGGUCUUUGCAGUAUACACUUGUUUUUCUUAGAUAUAAAGCUAUCUCUCUAUCCAUUGAUUAAUGCCUAUUUUACUAUUCACUUCAAAUGAAAUUCAGUACCCUUCCCCUAAAUACUUCAGCAUGCAUGUCAUUAAAGAGUUUAAGGCUUGCUCACAAUGUUUGUAUUUUUUGCCAAAAUUUAUAUACAAUGAAAUGGACAAAUCUUAAGUGCACAGUUAUUGAGAUCUGAUAAACAUACAUGUGUAACACCCAACCCUAUCAUCCCAUCACCUUAGGAAGUUCCUUCUUGCCUCAUCCAAGUCAGUGUUUAUGCUUACCACCUUCCAGUCCUCCACCCUACACCUCUAGGCAACCAUCAUUCUGAUAGCUUUCUGUAAUCGAUUAUUUUUCCUAUUCUAAAUGGAAUCAUACAGUAUAGACUCUUUUGUGUAGGGUUGCUUUCACUCAGCUUAAUGUUUCUGAGACUCAUCCAUACUGUUAUACAUAUCCAUAGUUUGCUCCUUUCCAUUGGGCAGUAUUCUCCUGUAGUGAUGUACUGCAGUCUAUUUGUCCAUUCUCCCAUUGAUGGACACCUGGGCUGUUUCCAGCUUGUAGCUAAUGUGAAAAAGAUGCUAUGAACACUCUUAAACAAGCUCAUUUAGAAAUAUAUGCUUUCAUUUCUCUUGAGUAAGUACUGAGGAGUGUACUUUGUUCUUAUUGAAACGCUGACAUUCUUUUCCCAGUGGUUGUAUCACUGUCUAUUACCGCCAACAAUGAAUGAGAGUUUCAGUUGCUCCGUUGUCUUGUCAACAUUUGAUAUUGUCAGUUUGCUUUAAUGUUUCAGAUGGGUAUGUACUAAUAUCUCAUUGUUGUUUUCAUUUACAUUUCCAUGAAAAGGUGGAUAUAGCUCCUUGCUGAGGCUCACAGUUUAGUGAGUAGAGUCCAUAUUCUCUUGUACAGACCACAUCCUGCCCAACUGUACAAAACAUCUCUGUUUCCGGUCCCCCUGGCUGCUGGGCACAAUGAAUAAAAACCAGCUCUUGAAGUACCACCUUUAUUUAUUUUAAAAUAGCAUUUAUAGUGGUUGAGAAUGGUUGGACUGCCUGGAUUCAGAUCCCAGCCUCGCCACAUACCAGGUGGAUGAUGGUGGGCAAAUUGCUUAGCAUUUCUAACUCAUUCUCUCAAAUCUUUUCAUAGGUUUGUAAUGAGGAUUAACAAGAUAAUACACAUACUAUGCUUAGCUCCAUGCCUGGCACACAGUUAACACCAGAAAAUUCAGUUG